rnacentral:rRNA from 1 species
GGAAUUAUGUGAGAAUCAUAAUGGCCGAAAAUCUAAGGUUUCCUGAGGAAGGUUCGUCCGCUCAGGGUAAGCCGGGAGCUAAGGAGAGGCGGAAACGCGUAGCCGAUGCACAUACGGUAGAGAUUCCGUAGCCUCCGAAAAGUAAAGCACAGGGACGCUUCAGAAGUGUUACGCCGGGCGAUGGUAGCCCCGGUUGUAAAGGACACAAUUGAGUGGAAGGUAACAUGGAUGGAGACAAGAAAAGCUGUGUGUAUCUGGAAGGAGCCCGUACCGCAAACCGACACAGGUAGAUAGGAAGAAGAUUCUAAGGCCAGCGGGAGAAGGGUUGUUAAGGAACUCGGCAAGUUGACCCCGUAACUUCGGGAGAAGGGGUGCUUACGAAGGUAAGCCGCAGAGAAUAGGCCCAAGCGACUGUUUAGCAAAAACACAGCUCUAUGCUAAAUCGAAAGAUGACGUAUAUGGGGUGACACCUGCCCGGUGCUGGAAGGUUAAGAGGAGAUGUGAGAGCAUUGAAUUGAAGCCCCAGUAAACGGCGGCCGUAACGAUAACGGUCCUAAGGUAGCGAAAUUCCUUGUCAGGUAAGUUCUGACCCGCACGAAUGGUGUAACGAUUUGGGCACUGUCUCAACAACCUACCCGGCGAAAUUGUAGUAUCGGUGAAGAUGCCGGUUACCCGCGACUAGACGGAAAGACCCCAUGGAGCUUCACUGUAGCUUAAUAUUGAAUUUUGGUAUUUCAUGUACAGGAUAGGUGGGAGACUGGGAAAUACAGGCGUCAGCUUGUAUGGAGUCACUGUUGGGAUACCACUCUUGAGGUGCUGAAAUUCUAACCUGCGUCUUUGAAUCAAGACGGGGGACAUUGUUAGGUGGGCAGUUUGACUGGGGCGGUCGCCUCCAAAAGAGUAACGGAGGCGCUCAAAGGUUCGCUCAGCAUGGACGGAAACCAUGCCAAAGAGUGCAAACGCAAAAGCGAGCCUAACUGCGAGACUGACGGGUCGAGCAGUAACGAAAGUUGGAGUUAGUGAUCCGGCGGUAUGUGAGUGGAAAUGCCGUCGCUCAACGGAUAAAAGCUACCCUGGGGAUAACAGGCUGAUCUCCCCCAAGAGUCCACAUCGACGGGGAGGUUUGGCACCUCGAUGUCGGCUCAUCGCAUCCUGGGGCUGAAUUCGGUCCCAAGGGUUUGGCUGUUCGCCAAUUAAAGCGGUACGCGAGCUGGGUUCAGAACGUCGUGAGACAGUUCGGUCCCUAUCUGUCGUGGGCGUAGGAUAUUUGAAAGGAGCUGUCCCUAGUACGAGAGGACCGGGAUGGACGCACCUCUGGUGAACCAGUUGUCACGCCAGUGGCACGGCUGGGCAGCUAAGUGCGGAACGGAUAAACGCUGAAAGCAUCUAAGCGUGAAGCCGACCUUAAGAUAAGAUAUCCGUUCUUCGGAAUAAGACCCCUUGUAGACUACGAGGUUGAUAGGCUUAAAGUGUAAGCAUGGUGACAUGUUUAGCUUGCAAGUACUAAUCGGUCGAUUGCUUUU